rnacentral:rRNA from 1 species
GGCUUAGAGUUUGAUCAUGGCUCAGGAUGAACGCUGGCGGCAUGCCUAAGACAUGCAAGUCGAACGAAGUGGCCCAUUGAAGAUUGCGUGCUUGCACAAAAUUUGAUUUGGAUUCCCACUUAGUGGCAGACGGGUGGGUAACACGUGGGUAACCUACCCCUUAGUCUGGGACAACUGUUGGAAACGACAGCUAAUACCGGAUGAUUCACGAGAGGAUAACCUCUUGUGCUAAAAGGAGCUUUUGCUUCGCUUUGGGAUGGGCUUGCGGUGUAUUAGCUAGUUGGUGAGGUAAUGGCUCACCAAGGCAACGAUGCAUAUCCGGGCUGAGAGGCUGAUCGGACACAUUGGAACUGAGAUACGGUCCAAACUCCUACGGGAGGCAGCAGUUAGGAAUAUUCGUCAAUGGGGGAAACCCUGAACGAGCAAUGCCGCGUGAGUGAUGAAGGUCUAUUAGAUUGUAAAGCUCUGUUGCGAGGGAAGAACUGCUUUCAUAGGUAAUGAUGAAAGUUUGACGGUACCUCGUCAGAAAGCCCCGGCUAACUACGUGCCAGCAGCCGCGGUAAUACAUAGGGGGCGAGCGUUAUCCCGGAUUUAUUGGGCGUAAAGCGUUCGUAGGCGGUUUGUUAAGUCUAAAAUCAAAUCUUGGGGCUUAACUCCAUUCAGUUUUAGAAACUGGCAGACUUGAGUGUGGUAGAGGCAAGUGGAUUUUCUAGUGUAGCGGUUAAAUGCGUAGAUAUUAGAAGGAACACCAGUGGCGAAGCGGCUUGCUGGGCCAUUACUGACGCUGAGAACGAGAGCGUGGGGAGCAAUAGGAUUAGAUACUCUAGUAGUCCACGCCGUAGACGAUGAGUACUAAGUGUCGGGUUACCGGUG